rnacentral:tRNA from 1 species
UGUCCCAUGGUGUAAUGGUAGCACUGCAGUUUUUGGUACUGCCUGACUAGGUUCGAGUCCUGGUGGGACAAC